rnacentral:rRNA from 1 species
GUUGGGUGUGGAAGCAUAGCGAUAUGUGAAGCUGACCAAUACUAAUUGCUCGUGAGGCUUGACUAUACAACACCCAAACAGUUG